GGAGAGAUGGCUGAGUGGUUAAAAGCGGCAGAUUGUAAAUCUGUUGAGGUUUCUCAACGUAGGUUCGAAUCCUGCUCUCUUCA
rnacentral:tRNA from 1 species